UUAAGACACGCAAAGUUAAAGGCUGGACUUUCUGUUUCUGAAUACUUUUCCAACAUUCCAGCAUUGGGAGUAGCUCAAGGAAUUCAACUAAUUCAAGCAGACUUCAAACACAUAUACUCUGAAAAUUUAUUUAACCAGAAUCGAUGGCGUAUCAUAAAAAAUUAUUUGAUGAAUCGGUUGAUGAAUGGGUCUUUUAUAAAGACUUUGCAGGACGAGGCCUUGCUUUUAUUAUUACCAACAUUGCUUGCUCAUAAUCAAGAUGCAGUGAUACUCUACUUGCUACCAAACUUGAUUCAAGGUGGCACAAAAAAAAAACAAAUGAUCAAAACCAAGUAGAGCUGACUAAAUUUACGCCUGUAGAACAACGUUCUUAUUUUUUAAUUC